ACGCGUAGGAAUCUACCUAGUAGUGGGGGACAACUCGGGGAAACUCGAGCUAAUACCGCAUACGCCCUACGGGGGAAAGCGGGGGACCGUUCGGGCCUCGUGCUAUUAGAUGAGCCUGCGUUGGAUUAGCUAGUAGGUGAGGUAAUGGCUCACCUAGGCGACGAUCUCUAGCUGGUUUGAGAGGAUGAUCAGCCACACUGGGACUGAGACACGGCCCAGACUCCUACGGGAGGCAGCAGUGGGGAAUAUUGCACAAUGGGGGAAACCCUGAUGCAGCCAUGCCGCGUGUGUGAAGAAGGC
rnacentral:rRNA from 1 species